AUUGAACGCUGGCGGCAGGCCUAACACAUGCAAGUCGAACGAGUGGCGGACGGGUGAGUAAUGUCUGGGAAACUGCCUGAUGGAGGGGGAUAACUACUGGAAACGGUAGCUAAUACCGCAUACCAUCAGAUGUGCCCAGAUGGGCUUAGCUAGUUGGUGGGGUAACGGCUCACCAAGGCGACGAUCCCUAGCUGGUCUGAGAGGAUGACCAGCCAACCUGGAACAGAGACAAGGUCCAGGAUCCUACGGGAGGCAGCAUGUGGGAAUUAUGCACAAUGGGCGCAAGCCUUAUGCAGGCAUGCCGCGUGUAUGAAGGAGGCCUUCGGGGUGUAAAGUACUUUCAGCGGGGGGGCGUUACCCGCAGAAGAAGCACCGGCUAACUCCGUGCCAGCAGCCGCGGUAAUUC
rnacentral:rRNA from 1 species